rnacentral:lncRNA from 1 species
AUGGGAAAUCAGUGCCACCGCUCCGCCGUGUCCCUAGGCGUGAGGCCAGCUCUCCCUGCAGCACUCCCCUGCCCCUGGCAGGAGGGAGACUUGCAAGACCACCUGGAAACCUCAAACCUCAGCUCAGGGACGGCCAGAAGAAAAGCAAGCAGAGGCAGCGGUGGUGUCUCAGCCUAUGAGGUGAAAUGCAAACUUGACAGCCUUGGUGGGGGGCUGGACCCACAGCAGCACCUGGGGUGGAAAGGACGGACCCAGGACCGCUCGCUGCCCAGCAGUGGGACUCCCCUGCUCUCCUCCGGACCUCUUGAACAUGUAUAUGUGGUGCCGGCCCCCAUCCCGGAGGAUGCUCUGCAAGGCGUCCUCCUGCAUCUUCAGUCUCACCGGGGCUGCUCCCUGCAGGGGGCUGGGUUUGGGCUCCCAAAACUCCCAGGGCUCCGAGGGAUGGGGCUAAAUCCCUGCAAAAACCACGCACCGCCCUGCUGCCGAGCAAAGCCGGGUGGGGAAAGCACCGCAGCAGCCCGGACCCUCCCCCCCUCCCGAAUAGUCCCCGCAGCAGAGGGGCGUUUUGUGCCCCCCGCCCCGGCGAUUUCUCUGGCACCCCGGGGAGCAGCAUCGCCCGGCGCGGGGCGCACGGGGCAGCUGUGCAACGCGGCAGCCCCGAGGGGCGCGGGGCCGAUUUUAGCGGCUUGGAGGGGAGAACAAAACAAAACAAAACAAAACAAAAAAACAGAAAAAUCCUGCAGUGUGGCUUUAUGUGCAAACACCCCCGCGCCGGCACACCCGCACACCGACGUCCGAGUGCAAUUGUGCCGUGAAUGCAUCCCCGUCCCCGCCGGGGAGAUUGCCUCUGCAGCCACUUAUUGCAAAAAAAGAAAAGUAAUAAAAAAUAAAAAUAAAUCCAACAUGCAAACGACAGAAAGAAAGAAAGUUGCGUGCGUGCGUGCGUGCUUGCGCGCUGGGAGAGGGGCGGAUGGGUGCACGCCGGUUGAUUUCGGACCUCGCCUUGUGCCUAGCGGGCUCUUUUUUCUGCAACGGAGAAUAAACAGGUAA